GUCGAGAGGCUUCGGCAAUGGGGGAAACCCUGACCGAGCGACGCCGCGUGGAGGAUGAAGGCCCUUGGGUUGUAAACUCCUUUUGUUCGGGAAGAAGUGCGAUCAGGUGAACAAUCUGGUCGUUUGACGGUACCGGACGAAUAAGCUCCGGCUAACUCCGUGCCAGCAGCCGCGGUAACACGGGGGGAGCAAGCGUUGUUCGGAAUCACUGGGCGUAAAGGGCGUGUAGGCGGCCAAGUAAGUGAGAUGUGAAAUUCCCCGGCUCACCCGGGGACCUGCAUCUCAUACUGCUUGGCUCGAGUUCGGGAGAGGAUGAGGGAAUUCCUGGUGUAGCGGUGAAAUGCGUAGAUAUCAGGAGGAACACCGGUGGCGAAAGCGCUCAUCUGGCCCGAUACUGACGCUGAGGCGCGAAAGCUAGGGGAGCAAACGGGAUUAGAAACCCGGGUAGUCC
rnacentral:rRNA from 1 species